rnacentral:rRNA from 1 species
UUUGAUCCUGGCUCAGAACGAACGCUGGCGGCAGGCCUAACACAUGCAAGUCGAGCGCCCCGCGAGGGGAGCGGCGGACGGGUGAGUAACGCGUGGGAACGUACCCUUUGGUUCGGAAUAGCCCUGGGAAACUGGGAGUAAUACCGGAUACGGUCGAGAGACGAAAGAUUUAUCGCCGAAGGAUCGGCCCGCGUUGGAUUAGGUAGUUGGUGGGGUAAAGGCCUACCAAGCCGACGAUCCAUAGCUGGUUUGAGAGGAUGAUCAGCCACACUGGGACUGAGACACGGCCCAGACUCCUACGGGAGGCAGCAGUGGGGAAUCUUAGACAAUGGGCGCAAGCCUGAUCUAGCCAUGCCGCGUGAGCGAUGAAGGCCUUAGGGUUGUAAAGCUCUUUCAGGGGGGAAGAUAAUGACUGUACCCCCAGAAGAAGCCCCGGCUAACUUCGUGCCAGCAGCCGCGGUAAUACGAAGGGGGCUAGCGUUGCUCGGAAUGACUGGGCGUAAAGGGCGCGUAGGCGGUUUGGUUUGUUAGGCGUGAAAUUCCUGGGCUUAACCUGGGGGCUGCGCUUAAUACGGCCAGGCUUGAGUGUGAAAGAGGGUCGUGGAAUUCCCAGUGUAGAGGUGAAAUUCGUAGAUAUUG